CGGAAAUGAUGAAAUGGAGAUUGGGUGUUGAAUGUUGUGUGAUUGAAAGUUUUUAGUAUGUAAGUUUAAUGAUUUAUAAAUAUUAGAGUGUAUGAAGGGAGUGUGUGUAUGUGUGUGUACGGGGCGGGGGGGGGGGGCGGAGGCUGCAGAAAGGGGGCACUGACCGGUGCUGCUGAUAUUGGAGUGCAUCUGAGGCUGUUGUAAACCAACACUGCCGAUGAUUAGAACCCAAAAAACAGCUCACCUAAGUAGCCUCACACCCUAAAAUCUCUAACAGGUUCCUUCAGCAUGGUCCUGUGAUCUGAUCCGA